AUCCAACUGACGAGUUCAAAAUAGAACGAAACGGGCUUCCUUGAU
rfam:Schistosoma margrebowiei strain Zambia genome assembly, scaffold: SMRZ_scaffold0004790